AUGAGCGGGGGAGGAGGGGGCGGCAACUCGAGGGAGCUCGACCAGACGCCGACAUGGGCCGUCGCCUCCGUCUGCGGCGUCAUCGUCCUCAUCUCCAUCCUCCUCGAGAUGGGCCUCCACAAAGUCGGAGAGUGGUUCGCGCACAGGAAGAAGAAGGCCAUGGUCGAAGCCCUUGAGAAGGUCAAGGCAGAACUGAUGGUGCUGGGGUUCAUCUCGCUGCUGCUGGUGUUCGGGCAGAGCUACAUCAUAAAGAUUUGCAUCUCCGAGGCUGCCGCCGACACCAUGCUCCCAUGCCGCCUCAAGAAGGCCACCGUCGAGGUCGAGAUCGCCAAGGACGGCGGCCACGGCGCCCCCGCGGGCGGCGCCAAGGAGGACCACGGCGCUAAGCAGCCGGAGGAGCAUUUCAGCCUCGGCACCCAUCCCUUCACCGCUACCUCCUUCAGCGUCCCCAACAGGAUGCUCAGCGAGGCCACCUCCUUCGGCGUCCCCCACAGAAUGCUCAGUGAGGCCAACAUGAACACCAAAUGCCCCCCGGGGAAGGUGUCCCUCAUCUCGAUAAACGCUCUGCACCAGCUGCACAUCUUCAUCUUCUUCCUGGCCGUGUUCCAUGUCUGCUACAGUGCCACCACCAUGGCACUCGGCAGGGCCAAGAUACGAGGAUGGAAAGAGUGGGAAAAAGAAGCGGCGGGCCAAGAUGAAGAAGUCACUAACGAUCCGUCGCAGUUCAGGUUUACGCACGAGACAUCGUUCGUCAGGCAGCACAUGAACGUCCUCAACAAGACCCCGGCCUCGUUUUACAUCAGCAACUUCUUCAGGCAGUUCUUCAGAUCGGUCCGGAGGGCCGACUACUGCGCGUUGCGCCACAGCUUCGUCAACGUUCAUUUGGCUCCUGGCAGCAAGUUUGAUUUCCAGAAGUACAUCAAGCGGUCUCUCGAGGAUGAUUUCAAGGUCAUCGUCGGGAUCAGCCCUAUUCUGUGGGCGUCUGCACUCAUCUUCCUGCUCGUCAACAUCAACGGGAUGCACACCAUGCUCUGGAUAUCCAUCAUGCCGCUGGUGAUCAUCCUGUCGGUGGGCACGAAGCUGCAGGGGAUCAUCUGCCGGAUGGCGAUCGACAUCACGGAGCGGCACGCGGUGAUCCAGGGGAUCCCGCUGGUGCAGGUCAGCGACAGCUACUUCUGGUUCAGCCGCCCCACCUUCGUCCUCUUCCUCAUCCACUUCACGCUCUUCCAGAACGGCUUCCAGAUCAUCUACUUCCUCUGGAUCCUCUACGAGUACGGGAUGGACUCGUGCUUCAACGACUCCACGAAGCUCGUCGUCGCGCGGCUCUGCCUCGGGGCGGUGGUGCAGGUGCUGUGCAGCUACGUGACGCUGCCGCUCUACGCGCUGGUGUCGCAGAUGGGGUCCACCAUGAAGCAGUCCAUCUUCGACGACCAGACCUCCAAGGCGCUCAAGAGCUGGCGCGCCGGCGUCAAAAAGAAGCCGGCGGCCCAUUCCAAGCACGGCGGGUCGCCCUCGGGGAGCCCGCACGCCGGCAGCCCCAAGGCCACCGACGAAGGCAGCACCGGCGUCGCGCUCACGCAGAAGCAAGGCCAGGGCGACGACGGCGCGCCAUGA
rnacentral:rRNA from 1 species